ensembl:miRNA
UGAGGCAGGAGAAUUGCUUGAACCCGGGAAGUGGAGGUUGCAGUGAGCCGAGAUGGCGCCACUGCACUCCAGCCUGGGUGACAGAGCGAGACUCCAUCUCA